ACGCUGGCGGCGUGCCUAACACAUGCAAGUCGAACGGUAACAGGUCUUCGGAUGCUGACGAGUGGCGCACGGGUGAGUAACGCGUGGAUAUCUGCCUAUUAGUGGGGGACAACUUUCGGAAACGGAAGCUAAUACCGCAUAAUCUCUACGGAGGAAAGCAGGGGACCUUUCGGGGCCUUGUGCUGAUAGAUGAGUCCGCGUCUGAUUAGCUAGUUGGUAGGGUAAAGGCCUACCAAGGCGAUGAUCAGUAUCUGGUUUGAGAGGAUGAUCAGACACACUGGAACUGAGACACGGUCCAGACUUCUACGGAAGGCAGCAGUGGGGAAUAUUGCACAAUGGGGGAAACCCUGAUGCAGCGACGCCGCGUGUGGGAAGAAGGCUUUAGGGUUGUAAACCACUUUCAAUUGGGAAGAAGAGAUGAGUACUAAUAUUAUUCUGAUUUGACGGUACCUUUAGAAGAAGCACCGGCUAAUUUCGUGCCAGCAGCCGCGGUAAUACGAAAGGUGCAAGCGUUGUUCGGAUUUACUGGGCGUAAAGCGAGUGUAGGUUGUUUAUUAAGUCGGAUGUGAAAUCCCAGGGCUCAACCCUGGAACUGCAUUCGAUACUGAUAGGCUAGAGUUCGGGAGGGGUAAGCGGAAUUCCGUGUGUAGCAGUGAAAUGCGUAGAUAUACGGAGGAACACCUGAGGCGAAGGCGGCUUACUGGACCGAUACUGACACUGAGACUCGAAAGCGUGGGUAGCAAACAGGAUUAGAUACCCUGGUAGUCCACGCCCUAAACGAUGUCAACUAGCCGUUGCGGGUAUCGACCCCUGCAGUGGCGAAGCUAACGCGAUAAGUUGACCGCCUGGGGAGU
rnacentral:rRNA from 1 species